UACGUAGGGAGCGAGCGUUGUCCGGAUUCAUUGGGCGUAAAGAGCUCGUAGGCGGUUCAGUAAGUCGGGUGUGAAAUCUCCGUGCUCAACACGGAGCGGCCACCUGAUACUGCUGUGACUCGAGUCCGGUAGGGGAGUGUGGAAUUCCCGGUGUAGCGGUGAAAUGCGCAGAUAAUCAGGAGGAACACCGGUGGCGAAGGCGGGUCUCUGGGCCGAUACUGACGCUGAGGAGCGAAAGCGUGGGGAGCGAACAGGA
rnacentral:rRNA from 1 species